AAGUCGUAACAAGGUCUCCGUUGGUGAACCAGCGGAGGGAUCAUUACCGAGUUUACAACUCCCAAACCCAAUGUGAACGUUACCAAACUGUUGCCUCGGCGGGAUCUCUGCCCCGGGUGCGUCGCAGCCCCGGACCAAGGCGCCCGCCGGAGGACCAACCAAAACUCUUUUGUAUACCCCCUCGCGGGUUUUUAUAUCUGAGCCAUCUCGGCGCCUCUCGUAGGCGUUUCGAAAAUGAAUCAAAACUUUCAACAACGGAUCUCUUGGUUCUGGCAUCGAUGAAGAACGCAGCGAAAUGCGAUAAGUAAUGUGAAUUGCAGAAUUCAGUGAAUCAUCGAAUCUUUGAACGCACAUUGCGCCCGCCAGUAUUCUGGCGGGCAUGCCUGUCCGAGCGUCAUUUUAACCUUCAAGCUCUGCUUGGUGUUGGGGUCCUACAGGUCUCUGUAGGCCAUGAAAACCAGUGGCGGGCUCACCACAGCUCCGAGCGUAGUACAUGUAUCUCGCUCAGGAAGCCGUGGUUAGCCCUAGCCGUAAAACACCCCAUCCGACUAACGCAAAGUUGACCUCGAAUCAGGCAGGAAUACCCGCUGAACUUAA
rnacentral:rRNA from 1 species